GAUGAACGCCGGCGGCGUGCCUAAUACAUGCAAGUCGAGCGAACGGACAAGAAGCUUGCUUCUCUGAUGUUAGCGGCGGACGGGUAAGUAACACGUGGAUAACCUACCUAUAAGACUGGGAUAACUUCGGGAAACCGGAGCUAAUACCGGAUAAUAUUUUGAACCGCAUGGUUCAAAAGUGAAAGACGGUCUUGCUGUCACUUAUAGAUGGAUCCGCGCUGCAUUAGCUAGUUGGUAAGGUAACGGCUUACCAAGGCAACGAUGCAUAGCCGACCUGAGAGGGUGAUCGGCCACACUGGAACUGAGACACGGUCCAGACUCCUACGGGAGGCAGCAGUAGGGAAUCUUCCGCAAUGGGCGAAAGCCUGACGGAGCAACGCCGCGUGAGUGAUGAAGGUCUUCGGAUCGUAAAACUCUGUUAUUAGGGAAGAACAUAUGUGUAAGUAACUGUGCACAUCUUGACGGUACCUAAUCAGAAAGCCACGGCUAACUACGUG
rnacentral:rRNA from 1 species